rnacentral:rRNA from 1 species
AUUGAACGCUGGCGGCAGGCCUAACACAUUCAAGUCGAGCGAGCGGCGGACGGGUGAGUAAUGUAUGGGGACUGCCCGAUAGAGGGGGAUAACUACUGGAAACGGUGGCUAAUACCGCAUACUAUCGGAUAACCCAUAUGGGAUUAGCUAGUAGGGGGGGUAAAGGCUCACCUAGGCGACGAUCUCUAGCUGGUCUGCGAGGAUGAUCAGCAACACGGGGACUGAGAGACGGCCCAGACUCCUACGGAGGCAGCAGGGGGGAAUAGUGGACAAUGGGGGAAAGCCUGAGGCAGCCAUGCCGCGUGUAUGAAGAAGGCCUGAGGGUUGUAAAGUACUUUCAGCGGGGAGGCGUUACCCGCAGAAGAAGCACCGGCUAACUCCGUGACAGCAGCCGCGGUAAUAC